UACGGAGGGUGCGAGCGUUGUCCGGAAUCAUUGGGCGUAAAGGGCGCGUAGGUGGCGCUCCAAGUCCGUGGUGAAAGCUCGAUGCUCAACAUCGAGUCGGCCACGGAGACUGGAGGGCUCGAGCACUGUAGGGGCAGAUGGAAUUCCGGGUGUAGCGGUGGAAUGCGUAGAGAUCCGGAAGAACACCGGUGGCGAAGGCGGUCUGCUGGGCAGUUGCUGACACUGAGGCGCGACAGCGUGGGGAGCAAACAGG
rnacentral:rRNA from 1 species